GGAGUUCGAUUAAGCCAUGCGAGUAGAAUGAAUUAGAUUCAUUGCAAACUGCUCAGUAACACGUGGAUAACCUGCCCUAUGCUCUGGGAUAACCUCGGGAAACUGAGAAUAAUACCGGAUAGAUCACAACGCCUGGAACGGUGUGUGGUUCAAAGGUUACGGCAUAGGAUGGGUCUGCGGCGUAUCAGGUCGUAGGGGGUGUAAUGGACCCCCUAGCCAUCGACGCGUACGGGUGUUGGGAGACAUAGCCCGGAGACGGAUUCUGAGACACGAAUCCGGACCCUACGGGGUGCAGCAGGCGCGAAAACUUCACACUGCAGGAAACUGUGAUGAGGGAACUCCAAGUGGAUGCACAUAGUGUAUCUCUUUUCCUUACUAUUAAUCGGUAGGGGAAUAAGGGCUGGGAAAGACCGGUGCCAGCCGCCGCGGUAAUACCGGCAGCUCGAGUGGUCGUCGCUUUUAUUGGGCCUAAAACGUCCGUAGCCGGUUUGGUAAAUCUGUGGGUAAAUCAACUAGCUUAACUAGUUGAAUUCUGCAGAGACUGCCAGACUAGGAACCGGGAGAGGUGUGGGGUACUCAAGGGGUAGGGGUAAAAUCCUGUCAUCCUUUGGAGACCACCAGUUGCGAAGACGCCACACUGGAACGGAUUCGACGGUCAGGGACGAAGCCUAGGGGCACGAACCGGAUUAGAUACCCGGGUAGUCCUAGGUGUAAACGCUGUGAACUUGGUGUCGGGAGUCCGCAAUGGGCCCCCGGUGCCGGAGUGAAGAUGUUAAGUUCACUGCCUGGGGAGUACGGUCGCAAGGCUGAAACUUAAAGGAAUUGGCGGGGGAGCACUGCAACGCGAGGAGCGUGCGGUU
rnacentral:rRNA from 1 species